UACGGAGGGUGCAAGCGUUGUUCGGAAUCACUGGGCGUAAAGCGCGUGUAGGCGGUCCGCUAAGUCUGGUGUGAAAGCCCGGGGCUCACCCCCGGAAGGGCACUGGAAACUGGCGGACUCGAGUCCCGGAGAGGAGGGUGGAAUUCCUGGUGUAGCGGUGAAAUGCGUAGAUAUCAGGAGGAACACCAGUGGCGAAAGCGGCUUCCUGGUUCAGCAUCGACGUUCAGGCACGAAAGCGUGGGGAGCAAACAGG
rnacentral:rRNA from 1 species